AAAUUGAAGAGUUUGAUCAUGGCUCAGAUUGAACGCUGGCGGCAGGCCUAACACAUGCAAGUCGAGCGGUAGCACAGAGAGCUUGCUCUCGGGUGACGAGCGGCGGACGGGUGAGUAAUGUCUGGGAAACUGCCUGAUGGAGGGGGAUAACUACUGGAAACGGUAGCUAAUACCGCAUAACGUCGCAAGACCAAAGUGGGGGACCUUCGGGCCUCAUGCCAUCAGAUGUGCCCAGAUGGGAUUAGCUAGUAGGUGGGGUAACGGCUCACCUAGGCGACGAUCCCUAGCUGGUCUGAGAGGAUGACCAGCCACACUGGAACUGAGACACGGUCCAGACUCCUACGGGAGGCAGCAGUGGGGAAUAUUGCACAAUGGGCGCAAGCCUGAUGCAGCCAUGCCGCGUGUGUGAAGAAGGCCUUCGGGUUGUAAAGCACUUUCAGCGGGGAGGAAGGCGNNNNNNNNNNNNNNNNNNNNNNNNNNNNNNNNNNNNNNNNNNNNNNNNNNNNNNNNNNNNNNNNNNNNNAACCUGGGAACUGCAUUCGAAACUGGCAGGCUAGAGUCUUGUAGAGGGGGGUAGAAUUCCAGGUGUAGCGGUGAAAUGCGUAGAGAUCUGGAGGAAUACCGGUGGCGAAGGCGGCCCCCUGGACAAAGACUGACGCUCAGGUGCGAAAGCGUGGGGAGCAAACAGGAUUAGAUACCCUGGUAGUCCACGCCGUAAACGAUGUCGAUUUGGAGGUUGUGCCCUUGAGGCGUGGCUUCCGGAGCUAACGCGUUAAAUCGACCGCCUGGGGAGUACGGCCGCAAGGUUAAAACUCAAAUGAAUUGACGGGGGCCCGCACAAGCGGUGGAGCAUGUGGUUUAAUUCGAUGCAACGCGAAGAACCUUACCUGGUCUUGACAUCCACAGAACUUUCCAGAGAUGGAUUGGUGCCUUCGGGAACUGUGAGACAGGUGCUGCAUGGCUGUCGUCAGCUCGUGUUGUGAAAUGUUGGGUUAAGUCCCGCAACGAGCGCAACCCUUAUCCUUUGUUGCCAGCGGUCCGGCCGGGAACUCAAAGGAGACUGCCAGUGAUAAACUGGAGGAAGGUGGGGAUGACGUCAAGUCAUCAUGGCCCUUACGACCAGGGCUACACACGUGCUACAAUGGCAUAUACAAAGAGAAGCGACCUCGCGAGAGCAAGCGGACCUCAUAAAGUAUGUCGUAGUCCGGAUUGGAGUCUGCAACUCGACUCCAUGAAGUCGGAAUCGCUAGUAAUCGUAGAUCAGAAUGCUACGGUGAAUACGUUCCCGGGCCUUGUACACACCGCCCGUCACACCAUGGGAGUGGGUUGCAAAAGAAGUAGGUAGCUUAACCUUCGGGAGGGCGCUUACCACUUUGUGAUUCAUGACUGGGGUGAAGUCGUAACAAGGUAACCGUAGGGGAACCUGCGGUUGGAUCACCUCCUUA
rnacentral:rRNA from 1 species